rnacentral:rRNA from 1 species
UGUAUAAGUUAUAAAGUCUAGCCUGCCCACUGAUUGAUUUAAAGGGCCGCGGUAAUUUGACCGUGCGAAGGUAGCAUAGUCAGUAGUCUUUUAAUUGAAGGCUUGAAUGAAAGGUUGGACGAGGGAUGAGCUGUCUCCUUUAUGUAAUUUGAAUUUAACUUUUGAGUGAAAAGGCUCAAAUUAUUUAGUGGGACGAUAAGACCCUAUAAAACUUUAUAUAAGUUUGAUUUGGCUUACAAUUUGAGUGAAAAGUAGCUUUAUUAGGCUUAUAUUUCGUUGGGGAGAUGUAGAUAUAAUGUAUAACUGUCUAUUUAAUUUAAUAAUUAUAAUUAGUGUGUGCUCCUUCUUUGUGGAUUAAAAGUAUAAGUUACCUUAGGGAUAACAGCGUGAUUUUCUUUGAGAGUUCUUAUCGACAAGAGUA